GACGUAGGGCGCGAGCGUUGUCCGGAUUUAUUGGGCGUAAAGAGCUCGUAGGCGGCUCGUUGCGUCGGCUGUGAAAACCCGCAGCUCAACUGUGGGCUUGCAGCUGAUACGGGCGGGCUGAGAUUCGGUAGGGGAGACUGGAAUUCCUGGUGUAGCGGUGGAAUGCGCAGAUAUCAGGAGGAACACCGAUGGCGAAGGCAGAUCUCUGGGCCGUAACUGACGCUGAGGAGCGAAAGCAUGGGGAGCGAACAGG
rnacentral:rRNA from 1 species